rnacentral:lncRNA from 1 species
UAAAACUCACUACAAAAGUGCCCAAUUUUUUUUUUCUUUUUGAAAACCUUGAUCCCAAGGUAUGCCAAAUCCGCCAAAAAUAUAGAGAGUUCACUGUUCGCACAGACAGAGUUUCCCCUAUAUUUGCACGGCGUCGCACAAGUACAAGAUACAACCACACACAUAUGAAUAUCCAUAUAUAUUCACCAUUCACAUCCGCAUUCAUUUCAUCACAAAUAUUCAUAUAUCCACAUCUAUUAGUUUAAAAUGUUUCCUAUCUGGAAACUCAUUUUGAAACACUAAGUCAUAAAAAUCAAGAAAACCUUUUUAAAACCCUUUCCCACCUGAAAACCUUUUUCUUUUAAAAACGCGCCACCACGAGGGAUAGAAAAUCAUUUCCAUUUCGUAAGAAAUCCAUAAAUCCUUUAUUACAUUCACAAAAUCCCAAUUAUUCAAAUAAAGAAAACCACUGAAUCAAUAAGUCUAAGUUAAUUAUUUAAAAGACGAGUUUGAGAAUUUAACCAAAGCUACGGGCCGAUGGAUCUAUCGAAUG